UGGGGAAUAUUGCACAAUGGGCGCAAGCCUGAUGCAGCCAUGCCGCGUGUAUGAAGAAGGCCUUCGGGUUGUAAAGUACUUUCAGCGGGGAGGAAGGGAGUAAAGUUAAUACCUUUGCUCAUUGACGUUACCCGCAGAAGAAGCACCGGCUAACUCCGUGCCAGCAGCCGCGGUAAUACGGAGGGUGCAAGCGUUAAUCGGGAUUACUGGGCGUAAAGCGCACGCAGGCGGUUUGUUAAGUCAGAUGUGAAAUCCCCGGGCUCAACCUGGGAACUGCAUCUGAUACUGGCAAGCUUGAGUCUCGUAGAGGGGGGUAGAAUUCCAGGUGUAGCGGUGAAAUGCGUAGAGAUCAGGAGGAAUACCGGUGGCGAAGGCGGCCCCCUGGACGAAGACUGACGCUCAGGUGCGAAAGCGUGGGGAGCAAACAGG
rnacentral:rRNA from 1 species